AGAGUUUGAUCAUGGCUCAGGACGAACGCUGGCGGCGGGGAUUAGGCAUGCAAGUCGAACGGUAUAAACCUUUCGGGGUUUAGAGAGUGGCGAACGGGUGAGUAACACGUAGGUAAUCUACCCUCAAAACGGGGACAACCCAGGGAAACUUGGGCUAAUACCGGAUGCGUGCAAGCAAUGUUUUGGUUGUUAAUGCUAUUCACGGAAGUGAGUAGUGUUAAUGGUUGAGAGCAUUAUUUGCAUAAAAGGUGGCAUAUGCUGCCGUUUGAGGAUGAGCCUGCGUCCUAUUAGUUAGUUGGUGAGGUAAUGGCUUACCAAGGCGAUGAUAGGUAGGCGGCCUUAACGGGUGGUCGCCCACACUGGGAUUGAGAGACGGCCCAGACUCCUACGGGAGGCAGCAGUCGAGAAUAGUCUACAAUGGACGGAAGUCUGAUAGUGCGACGCCGCGUGAACGAAGAAUCCCUUCGGGGUGUAAAGUUCUUUUAUACGUGAGCAGUGCCCUUUAUAUGAAUAGUAUAGAGGGAGGGAUUUAAGCGUAUGAAUAAGCAACGGCUAACUCCGUGCCAGCAGCCGCGGUAACACGGGGGUUGCAAGCGUUGUCCGGAAUUACUAGGCGUAAAGUGCAGGUAGGCGGAUAGAUAAGUUUAAGGUUAAAGGCUACGGCUUACCCGUAGUAAGGCGUUAGAUACUGUUUAUCUGGAAUGCGGUUGAGGGAGACAGAAUUCCUGGUGUAGCGGUGGAAUGCGCAGAGAUCAGGAGGAAUACCGAAGGCGAAGGCAGUCUUCUAAGCCGAUAUUGACGCUAAACUGCGAAGGUGUGGGGAUCAAACAGGAUUAGAUACCCUGGUAGUCCACACAGUAAACGAUAAUCACUAGGUGUUGGGUUCGUAUAGGACUCGGUGCCGGAGCUAACGCGAUAAGUGAUUCGCCUGGGGAGUACGAUCGCAAGGUUGAAACUCAAAGGAAUUGACGG
rnacentral:rRNA from 1 species